rnacentral:rRNA from 1 species
CACGUAGGGGGCAAGCGUUGUCCGGAAUUAUUGGGCGUAAAGAGCUCGUAGGCGGCCUGUUGCGUCCGCUGUGAAAGCCCGGGGCUUAACCCCGGGUCUGCAGUGGAUACGGGCAGGCUAGAGGUAGGUAGGGGAGAAUGGAAUUCCCGGUGUAGCGGUGAAAUGCGCAGAUAUCGGGGGGAACACCGGUGGCGAAGGCGGUUCUCUGGGCCUUACCUGACGCUGAGGAGCGAAAGCGUGGGGAGCGAACAGG